UACGUAGGGUGCGAGCGUUGCCCGGAUUUAUUGGGCGUAAAGGGCGCGCAGGCGGCUACGCACGUCCGUUGUGAAAUCGCUCGGCUCAACUGGGCGGGGGCAGCGGAUACGGCGUAGCUGGAGCAAGCUAGGGGGCAAUGGAAUUCCCGGUGUAGUGGUGGAAUGCGUAGAUAUCGGGAGGAACACCAGUGGCGAAGGCGGUUGCCUGGAGCUUUGCUGACGCUGAGGCGCGAAAGCGUGGGGAGCGAUCCGG
rnacentral:rRNA from 1 species